rnacentral:pre_miRNA from 1 species
GGUGCGACCGGAUGAUGGUCCUCAACGACCGUACAUUUUACACUGGUCGGUGGGAUUUUCGUCCGCUUGUAAC